UAGGGAAUCUUCCGCAAUGGGCGAAAGCCUGACGGAGCAACGCCGCGUGAGUGAUGAAGGUCUUCGGAUCGUAAAACUCUGUUAUUAGGGAAGAACAUAUGUGUAAGUAACUGUGCACAUCUUGACGAUACCUAAUCAGAAAGCCACGGCUAACUACGUGCCAGCAGCCGCGGUAAUACGUAGGUGGCAAGCGUUAUCCGGAAUUAUUGGGCGUAAAGCGCGCGUAGGCGGUUUUUUAAGUCUGAUGUGAAAGCCCACGGCUCAACCGUGGAGGGUCAUUGGAAACUGGAAAACUUGAGUGCAGAAGAGGAAAGUGGAAUUCCAUGUGUAGCGGUGAAAUGCGCAGAGAUAUGGAGGAACACCAGUGGCGAAGGCGACUUUCUGGUCUGUAACUGACGCUGAUGUGCGAAAGCGUGGGGAUCAAACAGGAUUAGAUACCCUGGUAGUCCACGCCGUAAACGAUGAGUGCUAAGUGUUAGGGGGUUUCCGCCCCUUAGUGCUGCAGCUAACGCAUUAAGCACUCCGCCUGGGGAGUACGACCGCAAGGUUG
rnacentral:rRNA from 1 species